CUUUUUUUUUUUUUUUUUUGGUGAGAGAUACCUUGAUAUCAUUAAUUGGGUAGGCUUGGCUGAAUUUUAUGAUAUUGCUUUGGUGGGAAGAUUUGAAAGUUUUUUUUGCAAUAGGUUAGUCGUUUUGCACCUCGUCAUGUGUAGGCAGUUCAUGGGUCGGUUUGGGUUAAAAUUGGCUACAAACGAAUCCAAUCCAAUUUACAUCAAUUAGUCUAAUCUUGUAAUGUAACCUGGUGGCAAAAAUCUGUUAGAUUGGAUUGGUCUGGUGAGUUUUAUUUUGGAUAGGAAAAUGUUUAUGAGGCCAGAGGCUUGUUGUGAAUUUUUUUUUUUAUAUAUAUAUUUUCUUAUAAACUAUUUAUAUAUUGUGCAGUAGAAGGGACAGUGCUUUAUUUGGGAGGCUAAUAAAAUCCCGGACCUCUAAUUCUCUUUCUUCUUCAAUUCAUCUACUAUCCAUGUCUUUCUUUUUUUCUUCCUCACAUUUUUGUUCACAUUUCUUCCCAUUUCUUCAACCCUGGAAUUCACUCUUCCUGUUGGUAAAUUUUUUUCUUCCCAUUUCUUCAAGCCUCGAAUUUGUUCUUCAGUUCUAAACCCAUGGACAUGGUGGAGGCAGACAUGAAACGAGUAAGGGGCUUGGGUUAUAAUUGAGGCAGAAAUCGAUGUGCCGAUGUUGUGUUGUUGCAAUUCAUCUGAGAUGUGCCAAGAAAUAUUUGUUUCCAGUUGGGUUCUGGCUAUGUGCUGAUGUUGCAAUCUGUUGUGGCGAUGCGAUGUGCUGAUUUUGGGUCCUCGCGGUCUCCAUGCAGUAUUGAUGUUUGAGUCUGUCAUGGGCAAACAAGUUGGUCAUUUGAGCCUUUUGGUCUAACAUUAGAAUAAGCAGCUGAUCUACUUCCUUUGAUAGUCCGAUUGGCCGCAAAUCCUUAAGUUUACUUCUUCCUUGAAUAUGAACCUUUUUUUUUUUUCAUCCUUAAAUGUUGAAUUUGAACCCUUCUCUUUCUUGUUUGACACUGUGCAAUGUUUUUAAAUUCUGUAAGAAAUUAUUUUUAUUUUUUUGCUAUGGAGAAUUGAAGUCUUUGGAGGUUUGCUACAUUUGUGCAGCUUAGUGAGAUUUUCUUGAGGAUGUGAUAUUACAGUGGAGUUGAUAAAAAUUAGGGCAUAGAAUGUUAGAGUCGGAUAUUCAUCGGUUAAUUCUUCAAAUUGACUAAAGAAUGAGAAUAUUUGAAUUAAAUAUUUUAAGCCGAUCCAAUAUUGUAUGCAACCUGAUUUGUUGAUUUUUGUUGGUGCCGGUCGGUUUCAUUGGACUAUACCAAUUCGGGAACAGCCCUAGUCGUG
rnacentral:misc_RNA from 1 species